UACGGAGGGAGCUAGCGUUGUUCGGAAUUACUGGGCGUAAAGCGCACGUAGGCGGCUUUGUAAGUUAGAGGUGAAAGCCUGGGGCUCAACCCCAGAAUUGCCUUUAAGACUGCAUCGCUUGAAUCCAGGAGAGGUGAGUGGAAUUCCGAGUGUAGAGGUGAAAUUCGUAGAUAUUCGGAAGAACACCAGUGGCGAAGGCGGCUCACUGGACUGGUAUUGACGCUGAGGUGCGAAAGCGUGGGGAGCAAACAGGAUUAGAAACCCU
rnacentral:rRNA from 1 species